AUGCAGCCCAACCCGGCCAACAUGUAUGCCUGCUGCCUUCAGGCGCGCGUUGACAUCACCCAGGGCGUCCCGCGUAACGCCGCCGCCGGCUGCUGCCCCGACUGCUUCUCCUACCUCCAGCCGCAGCGCUCCUGGCUCCGCGCCGGCCCGGAGUCCCCCGAGCACCCGCUCGCUCGCCUCCGGAUCUCGCUCUCCGGCGUCGAGUUCGUCUUCUCCGAGCCCCACUCCAAGCGCCUCUGCCUCAAGCUCCGCCUCCGCAGCGAGGUCCUCAACGACAUCGUCCUCGAGCAGACCCACCCCGUCGAGUUCGCCGUCCACGACCGCUUCUGUGACUCGUGCGCCCGCGCCCAGCCAAGCCCGACCAGUGGGCCGCCCUCGUCCAGUUCCGCCAGCACGUUCCACACCGCCGCACCUUCCUCGCAGCUCCUCUUCAAGCAUGGCCAAACCGCGCUCGCCAUCCGCGUCGCCUCGGCUCCCGGCGGCCUCAACUUCUUCUUCGGCUCACGCUCGCACGCCGCAAGCCUCGUCGUCUUCUUGGUACAGUCGAGCGUGCGUUCCACCAUGAGAAACGGGAUCGAGAAAGGGAGUAAUUUCGGGUGA
rnacentral:rRNA from 1 species